rnacentral:rRNA from 1 species
AGAUUGCAGGCUGNAACCCGCCUGCAUGAAGUCGGAAUUGCUAGUAAUCGCGGAUCAGAAUGCCGCGGUGAAUACGUUCCCGGGUCUUGUACACACCGCCCGUCACACCAUGGGAGCCGGGAAUGCCCGAAGUCAGUGGCCCAACCGAAAGGGGGGAGCUGCCGAAGGCAGGCCUGGUGACUGGGGUGAAGUCGUAACAAGGUAGC